rnacentral:rRNA from 1 species
GACGAACGCUGGCGGCGUGCUUAACACAUGCAAGUCGAACGGAAAGGCCCUGCUUUUGUGGGGUGCUCGAGUGGCGAACGGGUGAGUAACACGUGAGUAACCUGCCCUUGACUUUGGGAUAACUUCAGGAAACUGGGGCUAAUACCGGAUAGGAGCUCCUGCUGCAUGGUGGGGGUUGGAAAGUUUCGGCGGUUGGGGAUGGGCUGGGGGCUUGGCAGCUCGGUGGGGGGGUGGUGGCUUACCAUGGCUUUGCCGGGUAGCGGGCCUGAGAGGGUGACCGGCCACAUUGGGACUGAGAUACGGCCCAGACUCCUACGGGAGGCAGCAGUGGGGAAUAUUGCACAAUGGGCGGAAGCCUGAUGCAGCAACGCCGCGUGCGGGAUGACGGCCUUCGGGUUGUAAACCGCUUUCGCCUGUGACGAAGCGUGAGUGACGGUAAUGGGUAAAGAAGCACCGGCUAACUACGUG